rnacentral:lncRNA from 1 species
UACGUAAGGUUUGCUAUUUACUGCCAGAUUUACAGGGCUGAUUGGCUAAACUAGGUUAGAGUGAUUAUCCUGAGGAAUAUUAAUAAUCCUUGUUUUAGCAUGUCAGAAUUGUCAGAAGUUAAUUGCACUAUUGCUGUCUUUUAGCACAGGCCUAUUGAUUGCCACAGAGCAGUGUUGGAAGACAGUGUACAGUCAGAAAACAGCCUUGUGCAGGAAGCAGCCAGCAGCACAAUGAAGAUUGCCAAAGAACAAAUUGCUGUCACAGAAUACCCCUACCAUGUCCCACAGGCCAAACAGGAGAAGAGAGACAAAUCAGGAUGGGGUAAGUAAUUUUUCAGCCAUCUUCUCAAAACACUCAAACAGCAUUCAUGCCUUGAGUUAAACCCCACAGCAUCAUAUCUUCCAGAUGUGAAAGUAAGAAAGCAUGGACAAAAUUUGGCCAAUAUGUUCUGUCUGAUUCUAACUCUAUACAUUACUAUGCGUACAAGCAACAUUUAGGUUUCUUCUGAAGACCUGCUGAAGUGGAAACUCCUUUGGCAGCCUUGCAGGUUUUAUGGCUCCAGGGUAAGUCUUGUGAAAAAUGUAGCAUAUAGAACAGAAUCAGAAAACUUCAUAAUAGUAAAUGGACAUUUGAACAGCAGUAUAACUUUUUUUUUUUUUUUUUUUGUGAAACAACUGCUUCUUUGAAUUUUCACUGGAUGGCAUAUAAGUGAGCAUUUGCAUGUACAAGGUUAUAUCAGACAUAGUGAAAUAGACUUACAAACUUUCUGAUGAAGUCUGUCAGAUUUACUGGUGAAUUAUUUUAUUUCUGCAGACUUUGUGAACUAUCUUAUAGAAUGGCAUUUCUGUAUAUACAGAGUUUGUGAGUGGCUUAAUACACAGGAAUAAAAAUGAAAUAUAUUCUAAAUGUCCUUUAGGUACUUCCUUUAAAGUCAAGACAGAGAGUUAGUUUUCCUAAGAGAUGAGUUAGAGUGGAGACAAUUCUAGAUAAGCCACUCCUUCUGAAUUAAAAUCUUAUGGGAAUGUUAGGAAUAUUUGUUUUAUUUUAGC